UACAGAGGGGGCGAGCGUUGUUCAGAAUUACUGGGCGUAAAGGGCGCGUAGGCGGCCUCUUAAGUCGAACGUGAAAUCCCCGGGCUCAACCCGGGAACUGCGUCCGAUACUGGGAGGCUUGAAUCCGGGAGAGGGAUGUGGAAUUCCAGGUGUAGCGGUGAAAUGCGUAGAUAUCUGGAGGAACACCGGUGGCGAAGGCGGCAUCCUGGACCGGUAUUGACGCUGAGGCGCGAAAGCCAGGGGAGCAAACGGG
rnacentral:rRNA from 1 species